rnacentral:pre_miRNA from 1 species
UUUAUUGCCGAUGCAGCAUCAUCAGGAUUCUCACCAUCAAAAAGCCUUUGGUAUAUAUAGAUAUAGAUAGAUGAUAGCAGCUUACCAUCUUGCUUUUACAUGUGAAUCUUGAUGAUGCUACACCAGAAACCAA